GUCCUAGCCAGUCUUAACCAGGUCAGCUUGAACUAGACUCAGCUGACUCCAAGUUCCCGGAAUACAAGUUGGGCAGACUUAUUGUUUAGGUUAUAUGCUGCUUGGAGGACAUGCCAGUUGGUUAUAGCAACAAUUAAAAUGACCCUAAUUAGUGAAGGUUCCCAAGUGAUUCUGAGCCCGCCAGCUCAAACACCACGCUUUGAGCACUAUUGCCCUGGACCAUAAACUUCUUGUACAGAAGGAACUGACCUUUUAUUUCUGGAUGUGCAAUUCCUAGCACGUAGGAGCUAAGCACAUUCACUAACCACUGAACUGUUGAACCCUACCUGACCACGGCACCAAGAUUCCAGGGACCAGAACAGGAAGCCAUUAAUACACAGGUGGCACUGAUGUGGGUGACUGCUUUGGCCGGACUUCUCUUUGUCUGGAUCUGGAAUGUAUUUGAUCUGAGGACUGCUCAAGGCGCUGUGGGACAACAGGCCAUGCCUGUGUCUCUUCCCUUCUACACAUCCAACAUUAGAGUAUCCGGGGAAUUCCCCGGCUGUCGGGUGGGUGGGAUUUGGCACUUUCACUACCAUGGCCUGGGUUCAAUCACUGGUCAGGACAACAGAAUAUUAUUCAGCCUUAAAAAAUAAGGAAAUCCUCUCAUUUGUGACAACAUGACACAAUCUGGAAGACGUAUGCCAUGUGAAGUAAGCCAAACAAAGACAAAUAUAGCAUGAUAUCACUUACAUGAGGGGGAAAAUGUCAAACUCCUAGAAACAGAGAAGAAAAGUGGUUGUUAGAGGCUCUGAGGUGGGGAAAACAGAGGGAGACUGGUUAAAAAAAAAUACAAAUUUUUAGUUAUGAGAAAAAUAAGGUCUGAGGAUCUAAUGUAUAACACAGUAAUUAUGUUUUUAACACUGUAUGUGUAAUUGAAAUUUACUAAAAGAGUAAAACUUAAAUGUUCUCUCCAAAAAAAAGGUAAAUAGGUGAGAU
ensembl:lncRNA